CGUCCUAGGCGCGGAGCCAGCCUGACCCUGGUCCAGCGGUCCGCGGGAGCGCAGCCGUCUUCCUGCUGCUUGGCGCCCCUGAGCUGGAACCCGCCGUUUCCCCUGGAGGCAGCUCUGCCUUCUUUGACCAGCCCGGCUGGGACCUGGGGACAUCUUCGGGACGAGCUGCUGGAACUCGGGAAGGCGAUCCCGGAGGGCCAGUCCCUUCUGGACGCUGCGUGCGGGGCUUGUAGGUGUUCCCCAAGCUGCUUGGGGUCAGCAUCUCUCAGUAUCUCCCUUUCGCCCACCCAACGGGAAAGCAACGUGAAAUCCCUCAGCUUGGUCGUCCGGAAGGACCCAGUGGCCGGGAAUUCAGAGACCUGCAUGGGGAUCGGAGCCUCACAACUUUCAGGGAACUCCUCCGCACCGCAGCCACCUGUGGCUGUCUUCGUUUCGUCCUGAGUGGAACCAGUUGCCGAGGACUCUGAGGAUUGCAAGGCCGCUGGGAGGUGCAGAGAGACAGAGAGGCAGCCAUCAAAGUGAGACAAACAUCAACCAGUUGCCGCCGGAGGGCUGAGAAAGGGGACGAUGACACUGCCUGGCCUCUGGAGUUUUGUCCAGAAGGAAGCUGUCCCCCAGCACUUGCCCUGAUGCCAGACACUUCAGUUUCUCCCCUUGUGACACUGGUGCCCUUCCAGCUGCUGCCCUGGUGCUGGAGCCCAGAGAGGGUUGAGUGGAGAGAAGACUGAAUUUGGUGCUCGGUGUCAACACUGCUGUCAGUGGGGAAUGCCCAGAGUCACGAUGUGCCACGGAGGAGGAGAUUUCUCGGAAGGCUUGUUCUUGCUUUGUAGAAGAGGGAGCAAGCCAGCAAUCCUCUGUUUAGAAAUUUUUCCUUGGGUUUUCCUGUAACAUAUGGCUUCUUUUGGGAGGAUGAGUUGAAACAUAGAAUCCUGAUUUAGACAGGAGGGUUAAAUCAAGGAAGGCCCUUAACAUCUGUCAUGCGAGAGCAGAGCACUAGGACAAGCUAUCUUUGUCUUGUGGAAGAGAUACCAUCUCUCAUUCUCUGGGGUCCUGAUUGCAUGGGGGUGGCAUCUGGUCCCUGCAAGCCAUGGAACUCUGGAUUCCUGCCCCAAGAUGACAUCUUGUACCUCCACCCUUGGGAUCUGCUCAUCUAGAGAGUUCCAUGGUGGCUCUAGGGCCAUUGCCAA